CAGUCGCCGCGGUAAAACGGAGGGUGCAAGCGUUAAUCGGAAUUACUGGGCGUAAAGCGUGCGUAGGUGGUGGUUUAAGUCCGUUGUGAAAGCCCUGGGCUCAACCUGGGAAUUGCAGUGGAUACUGGGUCACUAGAGUGUGGUAGAGGAUAGUGGAAUUUCCGGUGUAGCAGUGAAAUGCGUAGAGAUCGGAAGGAACAUCUGUGGCGAAGGCGACUAUCUGGGCCAACACUGACACUGAGGCACGAAAGCGUGGGGAGCAAACAGGAUUAGAUACCCCUGUAGUCCCUGUCUCUUAUAC
rnacentral:rRNA from 1 species